GAGGGGAGAGGCCUAAAGCCACAGAAGCUGUGGAAGGCGCCAUCCUGCCUGCCACAGGAAGGGCCUUGGACUGAGAGGACCGGAGCUGACUGGGGAUUAUUCAAAGCCAAAAGCCAACAGAGCCCCCAUGGAGAAGUGGAGGAUGCUCAGAUACUGCUAUGGAGCCCUGAGAAGUGAAAUGGGUCCAAGCCCUUGCCCAGGAUAGAGCGCUCCAAGCGCAUCCUCCGGGGACCCUUUUAAUCAGUGAAUUGUUCACCUCUCACUGUUUCUUCCCAGCAGAGCUAAGAGACUUCUAGAGCCUCUUGUGGAUGGUCAGCGAUAGCCCUGGUAUGACCAGGAGGUGGCGAUUUCUGUUCUAGGUCCCUCAGCAAAGACUAAGCAGGACAAGCCUGGCUACUGUGUUAGGAGGAGCUGUAGGGAAAGGGAAGGACAAGAUGGGCCACCACAUGCCUGUGUCCACUGCUGGCCACACCCAGAGUGCUAGGGGUUUGUGGCAGUGACUGGGGCCACCUAGAGCAGUUCUAGGGUUCGUAGUCAUUCUCUCUGAGUCAUGGAAAACUGCCCAGGAGGCGAGUCCCACCUAAGAGAGUAUGUGUAGCACUGGCACGGCCUGCUGCCUUGCAAAUGACCACAUUUCAUGAAAGAAAGCCAGGGCCACAGACAGGAACCAAAGGAAAUCAGUCACUUAGGGGAAGAUAACGAAUCCACAAAGUGAAAAAGGGAAAGAAAAAAAGAGGCAACUUCAACACUCCAACCCAUGGGAGCAGAACGACUUUCAGCUUUCGCAGGGGGAUAAUCACUGCAAGUCCAGCUUGAAGAGGGUGAUUUCAGGAUCUACAUGAGAAUAAGGCGCAAUUUUUUUUUUUUUUUUCUGAAAAAUACGGAAGGGUUCAUUUACAGCUGUUAAAGAUGGGCCGGUUUUAGGGCUAAAGCAAGACUCUGGUCAGAUGUUAACAACUCAGUUAUCCUGGGGAAAAAAUAACUGGCUCCCAACCCUUUCCCUUUUCAGCAUUUGCAGGAAAAGAAGGAGUAGGUAAAAUGCUUUAUUUCCUCUCAUUCUCCAUGGUGGGCAGGAGUUCACAUAACAAUUAUAAACCAUCUUUAACAGGAAAGCCAAGUAAAUCCUGUAGGGAUUUAUUUGGAGCUCCCUUUUUGCUAGAAAAUGAGUAUCAUGAACUAAAAAUGGACUCGUUUCCUCUCUCUCCAUCUUCCUCUCUUUCUUCUCUCCCCUCAUCUCCCACCCACCGCCAUGGUGGAAAAUGACUGUGGUCAAGAAGAUUGAACAUUUGAGCAAGACCAGAUGCCUUUAUAUCCAAUAGAUGCCACGGAGAGUAGAUCACAACACAUCUAACUGCUGUAUCCCCAUAUAAAAUAAUUUUAAUUUUCCUAGACUGCAGAAUUGAUCACAUUUACUGAUGAUGGAUUGGGAAGUAGGUGAAGAGGUGAGAGUUGGAGAGUAUCCAUUCAUUCGGCCAGAUUAUUCUCAUUUAUAAUGUAGUCUUCCAAUAAGUAUUUAUUUCCAGAAAUCUAUUCCCUCUAGAGAUUCUUUCUCUCUCAGCCAUUUUAGAAAAUUGUUGCAAACAGAGUUCCUGUCCAUUUUCACAGGAAGUUUUUGCAGAAGGGGUUUGCUGGGUGGCAGUGGAACACAGGCAGUGGACCCCUCUACUACUCUACUGUUCCAGAACACAGAAGCCUUUCAUUGAGAGUGUUCAGCUCUUCCCAUUGCUCAAGAUGCUUGUACCCGUGAUGCUUCUUUUCUCUGCUUAGGUCACAAUAUGUGGAGCUGACAAGGUUCCCCUAUUAUCAGUGACAAUGGUGGAAUGUGGAGGUGAAGUUAACACCUUCGUGGCUACAGAGUUUCCUUAGCAGAGCUGUGGAGUGUGACAAUGGUGUUUGUGUCUAAACUAUCAAACGCCAUUAUCACACUAAAUAGCUACUGCUAGGCAAUCCUUCCCUCGAUAAAUGUCUUGGCAUCGUUUGCUUUGAGCAAGAAGGUUCAUCUGAUAUCAGUCUUCUCAAUCUUGUGUACUUACUGAAUAAAGUCUGGCUCUUUUGCACUCAUAACCAAUAUGGUUAGCUGAACCCUGCCUCUCACAUGCUGUUGUUACAUACCUUAGCUGGUGAUUAAUUUUCUUGUUUUCCCAAGUCAAUAAAAAGAUUGCAGACCAGGCACGGUGGCUCACGCCUGAAAUCCCAGCACUUUGGGAGGCCAAGGCAGGCGGAUCACUUGAGCUCAGGAGUUCAAGUCCAGCCUGGGCAGCAUGGUGAAACCGUGUCUCUACAAAAACUACAAAAAUUAGCCAGGCAUGGUGGCAUGUGCCUGUAAUCUCAGCUACUUGAGAGGCUGAGGUGGGAGGAUCAAUUGAGCCCACGAGGUUGAGGCUGUAGUGAGCUGUGAUGGUACCACUGCACUCCAGCCUGUGUGACAGAGCAAGAUCCUGUCUCAAAAAAUGAAAAUAAAAAGAUUGCAGAGUUCCUCAGAGCCCCCAACACAAGGCCAGGCACGAGGUAAUCAUUUAACCCAUGCUUAUAGACUUAAAAUGAAUAGUUAGGAAAGUGUUAGACGCAGAAGGCUAAGACUGGGCUAAAUCUAUGUUAUGCAGACAGACCGCAAGCUUAUAGGUACAAAAUUAAGGUGUGUGGGUCCUUCUCUUUUCGUCGUUAAAAAAUCCAACUUUCUAAUAAACUUACACAUGGUUUCACUGACGUUUCAGAAAUUCUAGAAUAUGUUUGAUUUCUACUGAUUUCAAUCAAUUACUAGGCUGAUUACUGAAUUCGUACACUAGGCCUUUCUUCCUCUUGCAUCAGUGAAUUACCAUCAGAAAAUUGUUUAUGAAGCAUGUGUGAGCUGCCAUAGCAAAUCUGGGACCCAUGCAGUUUCUAGGACAGUUGGCCCAGCCAGGUGCUCUGGUUUGGAACCCAUUCUGUCUCUGAGAGGUGUCUAAAGUCAGGAGUAGGUUUCGUUUGUGCCAGACUAAAGCUUCCCUCCCCAGGCUUGGUUAAAUGAAGUAGGACAUGUUUAAUCAAAUAGACAGGGUUAGAUCAACCAUCAGAAACAAAUUCAACCAUUCAACCAUUCACUUAUGAAAUAAAUAUGUGUAGAGACUACCGUGUGCCUGACACUGUCCUAGGCAUUGAAGACACUUUUAAAUUAAAUGUGUCUGAUGUUAUUUCCAGAGAUGGGCAUUCACUGGCUCGCAUUAUAUUUUGGGACCAUUGUAAUUGUUCCAAACGGGAGCCAAAUGAGCAAAACUUUGCGAAAUAAUUCUGAGUCCCUUGCUGGAAAGCCUCACCUGAAUGCAGCCCACACAUUUAUGAUACACUACAAAGGCUUCAAGGUCAUGAGAUGCCUCUGUCCAAAGAAGAAGAAGAGCACCCCUGCCUGCCCUGCAUCUCUUACCACCUCUCAUUUCUUCCCUCCUGGCACCAUCUACUGUCAAGAAGAGAAUCAGACUCCCUGAAAUAAUUGAGACACUGACAUUCCUUUUUGUGUGUAUUUUUUUGGCAAAGGCUCUAAUUGAACAGGCAUUAAUAGAGGGCUCUACUGUUAUACAGAUCACGCUCAUGCACACUGUAUUAGUCUGUGUUUUCAUGCUGCUGACAAAGACAUACCCGAGACUGGGAAGAAAAAGAGGUUUAAUUGGACUUACAGUUCCACAUGGCUAGGGAGACCUCAGAAUCAUGGCGGGAGAUGAAAGGCACUUCUUACGUGGCAUCAGCAAUAGAAAAUGAGGAAAAAGCCAAAGUGGAAACCCCUGAUAAACCCAUCAGAUCUCGUGAGACUUAUUCACUAUCAUGAGAAUAGCAGGGGAAAGACUGACCCCCAUGAUUCAAUUACCUUUCCCUGGGUCCCUCCCACAGCACGUGGGAAUUCUGUGCGAUACAAUUGAAGCCGAGAUCUGGAUGGGGACUCAGCCAAACCAUAUCACAUGCCAUUUCAUUUGAUCCAUACAACAUGGGGCAAAGAUGAUCGGUUUGACAAACAGAGUCUAAAGGGUUCUGGAAUCGUCUGGUCCUCCAGCCACAACUCAACAUGGAUCUCUUAAGUCUAAAGUUCUGUCCUGUACCUGCAGCCUCCUUUGGCCUAGUUAUUUUGUGAAAUCUCAUGCUUCACAGUCGAAUCUGUGUAGAACCUGGGUUAAUCACGCCAGUAUGCGAUCAAUAUCCUCAUCUCCCCAUCUGCUUUGUCAGUGGAUUCUGAGGGAAAACCUGUAAAUUAGAGAGGGAUGAGCCAUAUAAGAAUGUCUCCUUGUGAGUGUUCAUUGUGCAGAGAAAGCUGAAAAUUGCAAAACCCUGUAAUCAUGAAAUGAAAGAGAAGGAACAUCUAAGUGGUAGCUUUGGGGUCAGGAAGAGGGUAGACAAACUGUCCCAACACCAAGCAGCCAUCUACAUGACCCAGCCACCUGAUGUGGCACCAAAUGACCCAGAGUCUUGAGGUUCUGAACUGUUCCCAGACUCGGGGACAAUGUGAGGACUGGGUCUUCCAUGCUCCUUUUCACUCCCACUCACCCUGAGAUUUUUCUCAGGUGGAAUUAAACAGGGAGCCAAGUGAA
ensembl:lncRNA MIR122HG MIR122 host gene